rnacentral:rRNA from 1 species
UACGGAGGGGGCUAGCGUUGUUCGGAAUUACUGGGCGUAAAGCGCACGUAGGCGGCUUUGUAAGUUAGAGGUGAAAGCCCAGGGCUUAACCCUGGAAUUGCCUUUAAGACUGCAUCGCUAGAAUUGUGGAGAGGUAAGUGGAAUUCUGAGUGUAGAGGUGAAAUUCGUAGAUAUUCGGAAGAACACCAGUGGCGAAGGCGACUUACUGGACACAUAUUGACGCUGAGGUGCGAAAGCGUGGGGAGCAAACAGG